rnacentral:siRNA from 1 species
AUAAAAGCUACGUGGCGGAUGA